CAGAGUUGCAAAACUCCCAACCCUUUGUGAACGUACUGAAAAGUUGCUUCGGCGGGAGGCUCCUCAGGGAGCGGACCGCCGGAGGAAUCCAAACUCUUGUUUUUUGGCAUCUCUGAGUAGCUUAUAAAUAAGCUA
rnacentral:misc_RNA from 1 species